rnacentral:rRNA from 1 species
UACAGAGGUCUCAAGCGUUGUUCGGAUUCAUUGGGCGUAAAGGGUGCGUAGGCUGUGCGGAAAGUUAGGUGUGAAAUCCCCCGGCUCAACCGGGGAAUAGCGCUUAAAACUACCGUGCUGGAGGAAGACAGAGGUGAGCGGAACUUCGGGUGGAGCGGUGAAAUGCGUUGAUAUCCGAAGGAACACCGGUGGCGAAAGCGGCUCACUGGGUCGUUUCUGACGCUGAUGCACGAAAGCUAGGGGAGCAAACGGG